CUUUCAGCAUCCCAAUCCUGAUGCACCAACAAAGAGAGAGAAAAUUAGAGAGAGAGAAAAAAGAAAGAGAGAAAGGAGUUCUCUAAUCCAUUGCCUCUUUUUCUUCUUCCAAUCCUUUGCGAAAGGUGUUUGUGCACAGUUUUCUCUUCAGAUCUUCUUCAUGCAGUCUUAUGAUGAGUUGAAGAAGGAGAUCAAAUAUAAAUCAAGGGAGUGAGAUCUAAAAGAGAGGUAUCACCUUGGUGAUCUCAAAUAAUUUUGAUCUAUAUCAACCCUAUGUGGAUAUCUGUAGAGGUCAGACAUAUGUG
rnacentral:lncRNA from 1 species